AAGUCGAGCGGACAGAUAAGGAGCUUGCUCCUUUGACGUUAGCGGCGGACGGGUGAGUAACACGUGGGUAACCUACCUAUAAGACUGGGAUAACUUCGGGAAACCGGAGCUAAUACCGGAUAAUAUUUCGAACCGCAUGGUUCGAUAGUGAAAGAUGGUUUUGCUAUCACUUAUAGAUGGACCCGCGCCGUAUUAGCUAGUUGGUAAGGUAACGGCUUACCAAGGCGACGAUACGUAGCCGACCUGAGAGGGUGAUCGGCCACACUGGAACUGAGACACGGUCCAGACUCCUACGGGAGGCAGCAGUAGGGAAUCUUCCGCAAUGGGCGAAAGCCUGACGGAGCAACGCCGCGUGAGUGAUGAAGGUCUUCGGAUCGUAAAACUCUGUUAUUAGGGAAGAACAUACGUGUAAGUAACUGUGCACGUCUUGACGGUACCUAAUCAGAAAGCCACGGCUAACUACGUGCCAGCAGCCGCGGUAAUACGUAGGUGGCAAGCGUUAUCCGGAAUUAUUGGGCGUAAAGCGCGCGUAGGCGGUUUUUUAAGUCUGAUGUGAAAGCCCACGGCUCACCCGUGGAGGGUCAUUGGAAACUGGAAAACUUGAGUGCAGAAGAGGAAAGUGGAAUUCCAUGUGUAGCGGUGAAAUGCGCAGAGAUAUGGAGGAACACCAGUGGCGAAGGCGACUUUCUGGUCUGUAACUGACGCUGAUGUGCGAAAGCGUGGGGAUCAAACAUGAUUAGAUACCCUGGUAGUCCACGCCGUAAACGAUGA
rnacentral:rRNA from 1 species